AUAGGCCUACGGGGGGCAGCAGUAGGGAAUCUUCCACAAUGGGCGAAAGCCUGAUGGAGCAACGCCGCGUGGGUGAAGAAGGUCUUCGGAUCGUAAAACCCUGUUGUUAGAGAAGAAAGUGCGUGAGAGUAACUGUUCACGUUUCGACGGUAUCUAACCAGAAAGCCACGGCUAACUACGUGCCAGCAGCCGCGGUAAUACGUAGGUGGCAAGCGUUAUCCGGAUUUAUUGGGCGUAAAGGGAACGCAGGCGGUCUGCUAAGUCUGGAGUGAAAGGUACCGGCUCAACCGGUACAGGCUCUGGAA
rnacentral:rRNA from 1 species